GUGUGUGGCACCGCACAAACCAUACCCCCGAUCCAUAGGUUUUUCACCCUAUCCUCCCCUUUCCUCCCCUUCCCUUCGUCAACACAGCAGCCACACCUCCUCUCCCGUGCUUGCCGCCGCCACAGCCUCGCUGUGCCCGCCACUAGAUCUGCGCCCUCGAGGGUGACGGGAGCUGAAGACGAUGAGCAACGGCGCGUGGGGUUCGUGUAGGUCCUCGGCUCGUCCGUACCUCACCAGUCCGCCGGGCAAGCAAGGCCGCGGGAGACGAGCACACGAAGGUCAGCGGCAAGUGCUCCAGAGAGGAGAGAAGGCGGCACUCUAGGUGGCGGCGCUGUGCUAGCAAAAUCAAGUGGUGGCUGAGGUACACGAGAGCGAGGUGGUGCUGGAACGCAUGGGGCAGGUGGUGCUGGAACGCAUGGGGGCCAGCAGCAAGUCGCCGCAAGUGCACAACCACUCCGACGAGGUGGUGGUGGCCUACUUGCCCAUGGUGAGCCAUUGUUCUUUUCUUUGCUCCUCUCUUCUCAUGAAAAGGUUUGAUGGACGCCGAAGCCGUCUGCUCCAUCCGCCAGGAUGCUCAUAAAGUGGGAGGUGGAGGAGGCCAACGACUAGGAGAAGGAGCAUGGAUCAUAAUCGAUGUUAUGGAUAAAACUGCUAACAAAUUGUUGCAUCAUCAUGGACAAGGUGUCAAUACUACUAGGUAGGCAUAGUGAGUAUUCCACUUAUUAUGUCCACCUUGACACGUUUCAUGGAUUGUAUGAAUUAUUUUAAAUAUGUAAACCUACUUUGGUGUAUGUCAGUUUUAGGAUGGCAACUCGCCUUUUUUUCAUGCCUUCUUAACAGUUUUGGUUCUCAUGGGGUUUGAGAUGUGUAGAUCGAGUUCAACGGAUCAGUUGCAGGUGAGUAUGUAGUAUCCUUAUCUAUUUCAUAUGCUUGACUCCACUUUCAUUUUCCUAUGAUGUAUACAUUGGGCUCAGGGCUUUGGCCUGUUCCAUCCGAGGUGUAUCAUGCUUUAUCUGAAACUCAAGUAUACAUUUGGUGUUGUUGGGGCUUCUUUGAUUGAGAUGCGAAAGAGGGCAUAUGUGAUUUUUUUAGGCCAUCUGUCCAGGUAGUGACAUUCUAAUAUGCAAGGAAUGUGUUUAUUUGAUUUUUUUAUUCUGACAUACACUAAAGUAAUCAUGACCAUCGGUAAAAGGAAGACAGUCAAAACAUGAUUAUAUUUUGUCUUGGUAUACCUCAUUUAGUUGUCAUUUGUAUAUUUCAAGGAAAUUAUUCAAUUCUUAGUUAUCUUUCCAUUGCUAUUUUCCCUACUAUGCUUAUCGGAUGGGUAGAUAAUCUUAUAAGGGGAUGCAAUGGAUUUUUGUAUUUUGGAUUCUCUGGACUGAAUAGGUUAUAUUUUUAACCCAUAAAAAUUAAUUUGACUCCAAUAUGAUCAACUGUGACUCGGAAUAUUUUUCCCAAUAGUAUCGGACAAUAUUGUAGGCACCCACCCUCCAAAGUAUACAUUUGCAUUAUCUUAUUUGAUUAUUGGACUAACUGUCAACAAUCAUGUAUAUAGACUUCCCGGAGAAAUAAACCAAGAUGGGCAUUAUCUGGUACAGCACAAGGAACCUGCCCUCCUGCUUAGGUUCUGUAGCCAUGGCCCUCGAGUUAGCGGAGAAUGGUUAUGAUGAAGACUCUGAUUCCAGUUCUCAGAUCCUAUGUGCCUGCUUUAUUAUUCGGCUGCUGUGAGACAGGCCUUGUCGCCACCUCACUUGUCAUCGCAAUCGUCCCUACCUCACUUCCCUCUGCCCUCGAGGCAAGGCCGCUGGAUCUUUGCUGUUCCUUUUCACUGCACGGUAAGCUCGCAUUGACCAAUGACUGGUGGGCUCUCGCAGUGUACUGGUUGGCUGGGUCAACCGUUACAAGGUGCGUGUACGCCCUCUCCCUGCAUGCCGCGUGCGUGUCGCGUCAUUUGCAGGAGAGCCUGCGGCAGCCGCGCAUGGUUUCCUUUCUUGCGUGCGCGCCUGUUUCUUUCGCUGAAGGUGGGCUCUGUUUUGGUCUGGUCCCAUUUGUUUGUCAUUCAUGCGUGGUGCGUUGCGUCUCGUCUGCAUCUGGAGAGAGAGGCAGGGCUGACCAAUGCAUGUGCGCGUGAGGCCUGGCAGAUGCAUCGUGUGCGACUUGUGCGUGCCUCACCUUCGUCUGCAGUUGCAGAGAGGAUGGGCUGGCAAAAUAUCUCGCGAGCCUGGCCGCCUCCAAUUUCUCUUCCCGCUCUCUAAUCUCUCUUGAUCUACUACCGCCGCCACCACCGCCUCCUCUUGGUUUCUGAUACUUCCACUCCGACGAAGAUCACCGUGCCGCUGGUUCUUAGAUCCCGGGAGAAGGGGAACAGUAGCCGCGCCAGGCGGCAUGCCUCGUCCGAGCCGCAUGGUGGCCAACACAUCGGCGGUUUCAUGGCCGAUUCUGGGCGGCACCUCGUCAGUGUCGUGGAUGGCUUCGGCAGCGCCUUGGCAUUCCAGAGGGGCGAAGUGGGACGGCCAGCAUGCGUGGGGCACAAAGGUCACGAGUAGGAGGGAGAUGCGCUGGAGGUGAUGGAGGAGGAAGUCGGAGGCGGCAUCAGCGUCCAUGGCGACGCCACCCCGGGAACCCUCCUACACACCUUGGCAUGGCUCGUCCGUGCCACAUGGUGGCCGAGAUGCUGGUACCUCCUCUCUCUGGCUUCUCUCUUAUUUGCCCCUUUGUCUCGGGGAUGAGGGCGUCGGUGCAUCAUCAUGAGUGGAUCAAGAGCAGACCGUAGCAGCAAGAGCAAGGAUCUGGUGGUGGUUCAUGAUAUUGUACUGCAUUACUAAAUGUUCUAGGGUUGGAGAGAGCUUAGGUAAGUGCUCAGGUUCUAUGUGGAUAACAAUAACAAAAAAAUAGAAAUCCAAAUCUCUAAAAAACUGACGGAAUCAUGUAUAUAUAUAUUUUCUAGAAUGUACUCUUUCUGAUUCCUAUUAUAAGAUGUUUCGUUUGUAUGCUAUUUUUUUCCUUUUGUAAUUUGUUUUCUUUCUUUGGUGCUGCUUGAAGUGAUAUUUUGAUAUUCAGUUUUUUUUUUUGAAAUUACAAGUCAGACGCUUUAUUUUUUAGUAUACAUAUUAACUGAUGCACAACUGAAUGCCAUUUUAUCCUGUUUGGCAUAAUGAUGGUAGUGAUUUGAAGCCAACCCAGAACUAUUAGUGAUUCUGACAAGUGGUGCUCUAAUAUUCAGUUGUUUUCUGAAAUUAAAUUUAGUUAGUUUUGAGUUUGAGUAAAAAAAUAGUACAAAAAAGUGGUGUUCUAAUAUAUUUUUGUGUUAGGAAAUUAGAAGUUAUUUCUUUUUAGUUGAAGCCCAUCCAAGUAGCAUUUUAUUGUUUCUGUAGGUCUACCCAGUAAUGUGAGUCAGUGUAUUGAUUUGCCAAUUCUUAAUCAGUAUAUAAAAAUUCUUGAGCUGAUGUGAUGCCUGCAAUGCUUUUUUGUCUCCGCUAUUUUCUUCCUUUAGUGUACAAACUGUUUUAUUCCGAGUUUCUGGCUUCUGUGUGCAUAGUAGGUUCAGAAUCAAUUUGUAAAAACACAAACUUUGCCAUGUUUUCUCGCCAUCAUCCACCUCCUGGUCCUUGUUCGUAACCCCACUGUACUUCCAGAGAAAUACAACUUAUUUAUUAGGUUUCUCAGUAUCUCAAAUAUGUAGUAUAGCUGCUAAUGCUUCUUCGUUUUGUUGUAUCAUUUCUGCAUAUGUAAUUUUAAUUGUCUGAGAGGGGGAAGAGGAGAAACGGCUGCGUCGGACGGUGCUCGUCAUGAUGUGCCUGUGAGUACCCUCCCCCUACCUUAGUUGUUGUUCUCCUUGUUUACCCCAUGAUGGCUGCUCCGCGCGGAUCUGCGCCUCCGUCCAUCGCAGGGAUAGGAGGGCUAGAGCAGUCACCGUCGAGCAGGGAGGCAGCUGGAGUUGUCCGUUAUUGAGGAAAGAAUGGCAGCUCGAGGAGACUUGAGGCAGCGGUGGCGGGGAGUGUGUGUGUGUGUGUGUGUGUGUGUGUGUGUGUGUGUUCAGAACAGAUGUGUUUUCAGAACUUAUUACUUUUGAUACACUGCCCCUUUAUGUUGAGCAGAUGCGGAUCAUAUUUAGAGAGAUUAAGAUACUCAAGACCAAGGAAUGCAUACUGAAGGCUGCCAAUGAUACCCUUCAACAAAGGCCCUAACAAAUAAAUGGAAGAAUCUAUUGGGUGGUACUCUCACUGCUUAGCAAAGAGAAUGAAGGGUCAACAUUUACGGUCAUGCUGCCCACGCUUCAGAAAAAAAGGCAAAAAUGUUUUACGGCUCAAGCAUGGGAAGUAUAGACCAAAGAAUGUGGUUUACAGUUUCCCUAUUUUGUUGGAUCAACUAAUGUGUUGAUUUGUUACUUCAUGUCAGUGAUGUUUGUAAUCAAGAAUCAGGAAAGCAUACCAGUAUAUUGCAAUUCCAAAACUUAGAAAUAUGAGAAGGAUGCCCAAACCUACAGAUUUGUAAUUAACAUUUUGCACUACA